rnacentral:lncRNA from 1 species
AGUAAAACGCUUGCCGAGGUGGGGCGUCCGUUUGGCUGUGCGGGAUGUAUCAAGUUCGCAGUCACGUCCGGUCAGAAGGGAGACGUUAAAUCCGAUGCCUCGUGUAAAGAGAGUGCCACUCUCUUUGCACGUUAAGAACCCUUGCAACAACUCUUUGAGGGGUCCGUAGGUGGCCUGUUGCAAGGCAAAAUUUCUGUCCCUAUCCAAUAUACCCUCAUUUUCCAGUGGCAGUCCAAAUUUCCCCAACCAUCAUCCCAGAUGGCCUCUAUUGUAUCAACCUACCUAUUGUAUUUAUUGUGGACUUGUUCUCGUCCUGAAUAUGCAUGAAAUAUUUGCCACUGGACGUUAAGCAACC